rnacentral:tRNA from 1 species
GGUAUAUAGCUCAGUUGGUAGGGCGCUUGCCUUGCUUGCACGAGGCCCUGGGUUCAAUCCCCAGCACCG